GCGGCGGCGGGCGGCGGAGCGCGGGGGCUGGUUCUUGGUCCCCGGGAGAAGCCAAGAAGCCUGCCAGAGCCGAGGUAGCUGCCCUGCCAAGAGCUAUCCUGGGAGAGCUAUUGAAAGAGCCUUGAGCUUUCAUCGGGACCAGAGAAGACGUGAUGAUGUUGGAGCACAAAGACAUGGAGCUGCUGGCUGACGUCACAUGUAGCAGAGGGAGAGCUGUGGGGAGCAGUCUUUGAGGAUUUGGGGGGUGAACACGCCACGGGCCCGCUUCAUCAAGAGUGGAAAUCGGCAGGAGGAAAAAGGACGUCCUUAAAGUGACGUGAGGAAGUCUUCAGGUGAAGAAGCUCUCGGUGUCCCCUUCGGAGGGCAGAGGGGAAGUCCUGAGCAAGUUCCUGAUACCAACGACCAGAUCUACCUCCUCUAGAUGCUGCAGAGAUAAAACGUUUCUCUCUUUGCCCUGAGCCUCGGUUUCUUGUUUUGUAAAAUGAUGACAAUAAUGAUUCCAAUUUAGGCA